rnacentral:tRNA from 1 species
GGGGUUGUGGCUCAGUGGUAGAGUGCUUGCCUGGCAUGCAUGAGCUCUGGGUUCAAUCCUCAGCACCA